rnacentral:rRNA from 1 species
UACAGAGGUCCCGAGCGUUGUUCGGAUUCACUGGGCGUAAAGGGUGCGUAGGUGGCAUGGCAAGUUUGAUGUGAAAGCUCAGGGCUUAACCCUGAAAUGGCAUUGAAUACUGCCGUGCUGGAGGUUUGGAGGGGGGACUGGAAUUCUUGGUGUAGCAGUGAAAUGCGUAGAUAUCAAGAGGAACACCAGUGGCGAAGGCGAGUCCCUGGACAACACCUGACACUGAGGCACGAAAGCUAGGGGAGCGAAUGGG